CCUACGGGAGGCAGCAGUGGGGGAUAUUGCACAAUGGGGGGAACCCUGAUGCAGCGACGCCGCUGGGGUGAAGAAGCGCCUCGGCGCGUAAAGCCCUGUCAGCAGGGAAGAAAAUGCCGGUACCUGAAGAAGAAGCCCCGGCUAACGACGUCCCGGCAGCCGCGGUAUUACGUAGGGGGCAAGCGUUAUCCGGAUUUACUGGGUGUAAGGGGGGCGCAGCCGGCGAUGCAAGCCAGGAGUGAAAGCCCGGGGCCCAACCCCGGGACUGCUCGUGGAACUGCGUGGCUGGAGUGCAGGAGGGGCAGGCGGAAUUCCUGGUGUAGCGGUGAAAUGCGUAGAUAUCAGGAGGAACACCGGUGGCGAAGGCGGCCUGCUGGACUGCAACUGACGUUGAGGCCCGAAAGCGUGGGGAGCAAACAGGAUUAGAUACCCUUGUAGUC
rnacentral:rRNA from 1 species